GGCUUGAAGGUGCAGCAGGUAGCACUGCUGCCUCACAGCAAGAAGAUCGUGGGUUCGAAUCCGGCCUGGGGCCU